rnacentral:sRNA from 1 species
UGGAUGACUGCGUCCGGAUGACCUCGGAUU